rnacentral:sRNA from 1 species
UGGCCGCGUGUGAAAAGUUUUCUUUAAAUUUAAAUUUAAUUAGAGUAAAAGUGAAACAUUAACUAGUUUGGUGAUAAAUAUCAAUUAGUGUUUGGAAAAUUAAAUGAAAGUGAUUUAGUGAACAAUUUAGCAACAGGGCAGUGUUUUUUAUUAUAUUUUUUAUAUUUUUUUUCUGUUAAAUGUUAAAAAACUUUGUUUUUAACUUGUUUUUAAUAAAAUUUCGACGUUUCAGGCCCGAAAUGUGUGUUAAAUGGUCGUUUAAAGUGCAAUAAUUGUGGGUGCUCCCAAAAAUCUUUGCCGGCCGCCAUUUAAACACGCAUGUUCAGGCAUUAUUACGCAUUACUUCAUUCCACGCCAUUCCACUGCCAUGGAAGAACAGUUAGAUUUUGGAUGAAUGGCUUCAACAGUGAUGGCAGUCGACUGAUAGUGAUGCUCAUUUUGAAUAAUUUAUAAUUCAUUCUGCUUAUGGAUUAAUAAUUUUUUUAAAUAGUGAAAUAAAGUGAAAUAAUUAUGGAUGCUGAUGACGGCCAUUAUGGAAGAUGGCUGAUUCUAUUUGGAAUGGAGGAACAGUUAUGUUUUGGAUGUAGGAACUAAUCAGAGAUGAAUAGAGAUGCUCAGGCGGAAUAUUUAUUUCUUCAAUUUAUAAAUUAAUAAUAAAAAGGUGAAAAAAAGUGAAAUAUUUGUGGAUGCAGAUAACGGACAUUACUACGCAGUAGACAUCAUGGAAUUUGCAAUGGAGGAACAGUUAUAUUUUGGAAUAAUGAAACAAAAGCAAAUGGAAAUGGAAAUGGAAAUGGAUAUGGAGAAAUGGACUUGGAAUAUUCAUAAAUUUUUA